rnacentral:rRNA from 1 species
GGAUGCGAUCAUACCAGCACUAAAGCACCAGAUCCCAUUAGAACUCCGAAGUUAAGCGUGCUUGGGCGAGAGUAGUACUAGGAUGGGUGACCUCUUGGGAAGUCAUCGUGUUGCAUUCC